CCUCUCCUCCUUCGGCUCCUCGUCGUUCUCCUCUUGGGAGCGCUGGUCUUGCUUGAUCCAGUCGGUGUCGUUCCUCAGGGGGGCCAGCACCUUGCCGGACCCCCGGCGGCUCCCUGACUCCCUUCUGAUCGGGGCGAGGGUCUUUAGUCUGUCCAAACUCCGGAUCCCGUUCUCCAUGAUGUCCUUGAGCUCCUUGUCUCUCCUCUCCAGCUCCUCAUCCUCUGGUCUGAUCGCCUCCUGCUGUUUCUCCUCCUCCUCUCUUUCCUUGUCUUUCACUCCAUCUUUGACGGCGUUGUCGGCUGGGUGAGGGUCGCCCUCGGCAACUGUUGUCUCAACUGAUGCAAUGCGAUUGCCCCUGGCAACCGUCUCUUCAGCUGAGGCGGUCUGAUGGUUGCCACAGGUAAUCAUUGUCUCCUCAGCUGAGGCGGUGUGAUGGUCGCCCACGGCAACCGCUGUCUCCCCAGCCGAGGCGGUGUGAUGAUCGCCCCCGGCAACCGUCUCCGCAGCCGAGGCGGUGUAAUGUUCGCCCCCGGCAACCGUCGGCUCAGCCGAGGCGGUGUGAUGGUCGCCCCCGGCAACCGUCUCCGCAGCCGAGGCGGUGUGAUGGUCGCCCCCGGCAAUCGUCACCUCAGUUGAGUCGGUGUGAUGGUCGCCCCAGCAACCGUCUCCUCAGCCGAGGCUGUGAUCUCUUCCGGCUUCGACUGAUCGAGCUCUGGAGGGCUUCCCUCCUCCUCUGUGGUCUCGAUCUCGUCGUCAACCGUCUCUUCUGCUGAGGCAGUCUGAUGGUUGCCCCUGGUAAUCGUUGUCUCCUCAGCCGAGGCGGUGUGAUGGUCGCCCCCGGCAACCGUUGUCUCCUCAGUCGAGGCGGUAUGAUGGUCGCCCCCGGCAACUGUCUCUGCAGCCGAGGCGGUAUGAUGGUCGCCCCCGGCAACCGUCACCUCAGUUGAGGCGGUGUGAUGGUCGCCCCCAGCAACCGUUUCCUCAGCCGAGGCUGUGAUCUCUUCCGGCUUUGACUGAUCGAGCUCUGGAGGGCUUCCCGCCUCCUCUGUGGUCUCGAUCUCGUCGUCAACCGUCUCUUCAGCUGAGGCGGUCUGAUGGUUGCCCCCGGCAACCGUUGUCUCCUCAGCCGAGGCGGUGUGAUGGUCGCCCCUGGCAACUGUCUCCUCAGCCGAGGAGGUAUGAUGGUCACCCCCGGCAACACUCACCUCAAUUGAGGCGGUGUGAUGGUCGGUCCCAGCAACCAUCUCCUCAGCCGAGGCUGUGAUCUCUUCCGGCUUCGACUGAUCGAGCUCUGGAGGGCUUCCCGCCUCCUCUGUGGUCUCGAUCUCGUCGUCAAGGACCGUCACCGGCUCUGUCUCCUUCUCCAGCUCUCCUCCGUCCAUCUCCCCCUCUGCAUACCGGACCCCCAGUCUGU
ensembl:lncRNA